UACGUAGGGGGCAAGCGUUGUCCGGAUUUAUUGGGCGUAAAGAGCUCGUAGGCGGUCUGUCGCGUCGAUCGUGAAAACUUGGGGCUUAACCCUGAGCUUGCGGUCGAUACGGGCAUGACUGGAGUUCGGCAGGGGAGACUGGAAUUCCUGGUGUAGCGGUGAAAUGCGCAGAUAUCAGGAGGAACACCGGUGGCGAAGGCGGAUCUCUGGGCCUUACCUGACGCUCAGGCGCGAAAGCUAGGGGAGCGAACUGG
rnacentral:rRNA from 1 species